AGGAGCUGUAUUUGAGAAAGUCAUCCAAGGAGCCUCAUCUGAACCUGGACCUGAUUAGAUGACAAGACCCAGGACUUCAAGUUGAGGCUUCGGUGGAAUGAGACUUUGGGGGACCUUGGAAAGGGGACGAAUCCCCAGAAAUGAAAUUGUUACAUCAUGAGCAUGUGUAUUCCCCUUGAUUAGCUUUCUCUGCUUCUCAGACAUGCAGCUGAAGAAGGCUACCUCUCACCUGCCUCAGCGCCAGCAACCAAAGGAGACAAGCACCUGUGAGUCCCAAUUCUAAAUUCC